rnacentral:misc_RNA from 1 species
UCUCCGUUGGUGAACCAGCGGAGGGAUCAUUACCGAGUUUACAACUCCCAAACCCCUAUGUGAACGUUACCAAACUGUUGCCUCGGCGGGAAAUUCAUGCCCCGGGCGCGUCGCAGCCCCGGACCAAGGCGCCCGCCGGAGGACCAACCAACACUCUAUUGUAUGUCCCUCGCGGACUUUUAUAAUUCUGAACCAUCUCGGCGCCCCUAGCGGGCGUUUCGAAAAUGAAUCAAAACUUUCAACAACGGAUCUCUUGGUUCUG